rnacentral:rRNA from 1 species
UGGAUGAGCCCGCGGCCUAUCAGCUUGUUGGUGGGGUAAUGGCCUACCAAGGCGGCGACGGGUAGCCGGCCUGAGAGGGUGGACGGCCACAUUGGGACUGAGAUACGGCCCGGACUCCUACGGGAGGCAGCAGUGGGGAAUAUUGCACAGUGGGCGCAAGCCUGAUGCAGCGACGCCGCGUGGGGGAUGACGGCCUUCGGGUUGUAAACUCCUUUCGCUAGGGACGAAGCUUUUUGUGACGGUACCUAGAUAAGAAGCACCGGCUAACUACGUGCCAGCAGCCGCGGUAAU